AUGAACGCUAGCUACAGGCUUAACACAUGCAAGUCGAGGGGCAGCAUUUCAGUUUGCUUGCAAACUGGAGAUGGCGACCGGCGCACGGGUGAGUAACACGUAUCCAACCUGCCGAUAACUCGGGGAUAGCCUUUCGAAAGAAAGAUUAAUACCCGAUGGUAUAAUUAGACCGCAUGGUCUUGUUAUUAAAGAAUUUCGGUUAUCGAUGGGGAUGCGUUCCAUUAGGCAGUUGGUGAGGUAACGGCUCACCAAACCUUCGAUGGAUAGGGGUUCUGAGAGGAAGGUCCCCCACAUUGGAACUGAGACACGGUCCAAACUCCUACGGGAGGCAGCAGUGAGGAAUAUUGGUCAAUGGGCGCAGGCCUGAACCAGCCAAGUAGCGUGAAGGAUGACUGCCCUAUGGGUUGUAAACUUCUUUUAUAUGGGAAUAAAGUUUUCCACGUGUGGAAUUUUGUAUGUACCAUAUGAAUAAGGAUCGGCUAACUCCGUGCCAGCAGCCGCGGUAAUACGGAGGAUCCGAGCGUUAUCCGGAUUUAUUGGGUUUAAAGGGAGCGUAGGUGGACAGUUAAGUCAGUUGUGAAAGUUUGCGGCUCAACCGUAAAAUUGCAGUUGAUACUGGCUGUCUUGAGUACAGUAGAGGUGGGCGGAAUUCGUGGUGUAGCGGUGAAAUGCUUAGAUAUCACGAAGAACUCCGAUUGCGAAGGCAGCUCACUGGACUGCAACUGACACUGAUGCUCGAAAGUGUGGGUAUCAAACAGGAUUAGAUACCCUGGUAGUCCACGCCGUAAACGAUGGUCACUAAGUGUCGGGGGUCAAACCCCGGUGCUGCAGUCAACGCAAUAAGUGACCCGCCUGAGUAGUACGUUCGCAAGAAUGAAACUCAAAGGAAUUGACGGGGGCCCGCACAAGCAGUGGAGUAUGUGGUUUAAUUCGACGCAACGCGAAGAACCUUACCAGGGCUUGACAUAUACAGGAAUAUAUAAGAGAUUAUAUAGCUCUUCGGAGACUGUAUACAGGUGGUGCAUGGUUGUCGUCAGCUCGUGUCGUGAGAUGUUGGGUUAAGUCCCGCAACGAGCGCAACCCUUAUCUUUAGUAGCCAGCAGUAAGAUGGGCACUCUAGAGAGACUGCCGGGGAUAACCCGGAGGAAGGUGGGGAUGACGUCAAAUCAGCACGGCCCUUACGUCCGGGGCUACACACGUGUUACAAUGGGGGGUACAGAAGGCAGCUACCUGGUGACAGGAUGCUAAUCCCAAAAGCCUCUCUCAGUUCGGAUCGAAGUCUGCAACCCGACUUCGUGAAGCUGGAUUCGCUAGUAAUCGCGCAUCAGCCAUGGCGCGGUGAAUACGUUCCCGGGCCUUGUACACACCGCCCGUCACACCAUGAGAGCCGGGGGGACCCGAAGUCGAUAGUCUAACCGCAAGGAGGACGUCGCCGAAGGUAAAACUGGUGAUUGGGGUG
rnacentral:rRNA from 1 species